UAGUCAAAGAUCAUUAUUUAGGCAACAGAUGCAUAUAGCAAAAAUUGGAGAUACCAUAUACCUUCACCCUAAAUAUAUCAUGAAUAUCAUAACCAAAAGAUAAUUUUGUUACGAACAUUAGACUUAAGGGAUAUAUACAGACAUAAUAACAUAGGGCAAACUAUGGUUAAAUUUGCUAACUUGGUGAUUUGGGUUAAAACUAGAGAUUCUCAGAUAUUAGUUAUCAGUUGAUGGAUAAAAAUAAAUAGCAAAUUAAUUUGAAGUUCCUUGGAUUCCUUUUUUGUGAGAAAAUAAUCAAGGGAAGGGGGAGAAACACAGAUAAAGCUGAAAGUCUAAAAAAUGUUGAACAAGAGCCUUCAGGCCACCUUUUAAAGCAAAAAGGGAUGCCAAUGAACUCAACCUUCUUGAACCACAUAAUACACACAUCACGCAGGGAACAUAGUUUGGCCUGCGUUCUUGCAACAGAUCAAAAGUGUUGAUGCUACUAAGAAUAACAGUCCAAACAAAAACCUUUAUCUUACAAGCAACUUUAGCCUUCCAAAACAUAGUAGUGAAAGUCUCAUCCUAAGAACUAAAAAUAUGGAUAAGAUGAAUAAAAAGAGACUUGCAGGUCUAUACACUCAGAGGAAUCUAAUGUUGGAAUUUUGCUAUUGGAAUGCGGAAAACAAUAAAGGGCUCAAGGAUGAGUAAAAAAACGAUGCAUGCCAUCUGACUCUUGGUCAUUUAAAUUCCUAAGGAAAAGAAAUUCCAAGAUAUGUAACCACUAAGAUUAAUUUAGUGAUAAAUAGGAGCAUUACGAUGAGAUGAUACAGAAAGGUGUUUUCCCCGAUGUGCUUAAAUUAGGACAUUUAUUAUGCCCUUCAGCUGUAUGAUGAAAUGGUGAGAAGGGGAUGUGAUCCGGAUAUAGUAACAUAUACUGAAUUAAUCAGAGGCCAUUGUGGGCAAGGUAACACAAAGGAGUUCAGAAGAGCUUCUUGUAGAGAUACAGAAAUCUGGUUUAGUGGUUGAGUUCCAUUUCAGAUACUUAUUACAAAGUACUGCACAAUGAGGGAGCCCCACCUUGCAUUUUACCUAUACCAAAGGUGCGUGAUCGGUGAUAAAUGAGUUUGUGAUUCAGUAACUUCAAAAUUAUUCAUAGGCACUGCAGAACUGCGAAGUUUGUUGCAAGCCAUUAAGUUCUUGUAUAUUGUGAUGGGGUCAGUUUUCUGCCUAUGGUGUCCAUAGACUGUGAUUCUUGUUGGUUAUGUAUCCAGCCCAAACAAAAACAAAAAAAAAGGGGCAAAUUAGUAGUUAAAAAAAAAAAAAGAAAAGAAAAAAAAGAAAAAGAAAAACAAAGAGAGUUAGAGAGUGUAAAAGAUUGAAAAAUAUCCCUGCUAGAGUUUUCGAAGAAAAUGAAUGGUCAAGAUCGAAAAUGAAUAUUGGGUGGUUGUAUCUGUUAGGAUUUUUUUUCUCUCUCGAUUAGUAUAUAAAUGCAUGUCUAUGCACCAUAAAUGAAGGAACAGAAGAAAUAUUUAAAAACUCUUUUAUUACCUUUCUCACUUUUUACCGAGAGAAAUAGAGAAGAGUGUACCGCAAGAGGAAAGGAAGAAGAGAACUUAUAUAUAUAUAUAUAUAUAUAUAUACACAUAUACAUCUACAAGUUGAGUAGCUACCAAGAGAAGAAAAAAAAAAUGAUUUUCAUUCUCUCUACUUUUGUUUGCCUCUUUCUUCUAGUUCUACACACAAAAAAAGGUUGUUUUUUGAAUUUAACUCUUAGUGGAUUAUCUCGUACUUAAUUUUAUUAAUAAUGUAUUUGAUUGAAUAUUGACCCGUGGUUUUUUCCUUUACACUAAAACAUUUUCUACGUAAAUUAUGUAUCGAUUUAAUUUUUCAACUAUUAUCUGCUUAUUAUUUUUACUCCAUUGUGCAUCAAUUUGAGUUAGGGUUAUGCUUAUUAGUUCCUACUAAUUAAUUUGAAAUUAACUUAAUUUACACAGUUAAUUAUAUUCUUGUUCGGAACCCAACAAGUGGUAUCAGAGCCAGGUUGACUAGUUUGUUAAUUGAUUUGUGAUCUGAGAUUAAUUGUAUGAAAUAGAAUGAAAGAAUUUGCUGCUACUAUGAUAAAAUUGUCUUCUUCAAAUUAUUUAAUUUGGAAGUCAAAGAUGGAGGAUUUUCUUUAUUUUAGGGGUUUAUAUGAUCCGAGUAAAUUAAGAACUACUAAGCUAAUGGGAAAAUCACAUGAUGAUUCGGAGAAAAUACAUUGAAAGACUGUAGGAACUAUCUGAAAGUUGGUGAAUAAUAGUGUCUAUCAUUACAUAAAUAAAAAAGUAAUUGCACAGGUUUUAUGAAACAAAUUGAAAAAUAUGUAUGAGAUAAAAAAUGCUCGGAAUAAGACUUUUACUAUUAGAAAGCUUGUUAAUCUGAAGUUGAGAGAUGGACAAUCAUUGCAGAACACUUCAGUAAAUUUCAAUAGUUGGUAAAUGAGUUAAAUACAAUAAAAAUGGCUCUAGAUGAUGAAUUGCAGAAGUUAUUGCUCUUAAGCUCUUUGCUAGACAGUUGAAAAACCUUAGUAGUGUCUCUUAACAAUUCUGCUCCAUAUGGUAUUUUGUCUUUACUUGUGGUAAUAGAUAAUCUGCACAAUAAAGAGACUAAAAGAAAAGAUAUGGGUAUUGAGACUUUACAGGCACUUAUUACAAUAAUAGAGAAUAGGGAUAGAAGUAAAAGUAGAGGUCCUAAGGGGCGCUAUAGAUCCAUAUGUAAAUCAUAGGUGAACAGUAAGUUCACUUGUUAUCAUUGCGGCAAAGAGGGACAUAUAAAAAGAAAUUGUAGGAUUUGGAAAAAUGAACAAAAUCAGAAAAAGAUAGAUAAUCAGAACACUACUGCAACUGUAGCUGAUGAUAAUGAAAAACUGGUUGUACUUUCAUUUGUUGAAGAUUAUAGCCACGUCACUGAUUCUGAUACUGAGUGGAUUGUUGAUUCUGCAGCAUCCUAUCAUGCUACACCUAGAAGAGAUGUCUUCACUAUGUACAAAGUAGGAGAUUUUGGCAUAGUGAAAAUGAGUAAUACCAGCUAUGUAGACAUUAUAGGUAUUGGUGAUAUUUGUGUGUAGAUAGAUAUUGGUUGUGUGUAGACAGAUAUUGGUUGCACGUUGAAUCUAAAGAAUGUGUGGUAUGUACCAGAUUUACAUUUUAAUAUGAUCUCUACAAAUGCUCUUGAUUUAUAUUGUUAUUACAAUCUAUUUGGUGGUAGAAAAUGGAAACUCACUAAAGGUUCAAUUAUAAUUGUUAGAGGCAAAUUGUGUCAUACACUUUACAAGACUCAGAUGAAUAUUAUUAGAGGUGCACUGAAUGCAGCUGUAGAUGAUGUUUCACCAAACUUGUGGCAUAAGAGGCUGGCUCACAUGAGUGAGAAGGGGUUGCAGAUUUUGGCAAAGAAGUUCUUUAUUCCUUUUGCAAAAGGUAUGAGUUUAAACCUUUGUAAUUAUUGUGUGUAUGGUAAACAACAGAGAAUUUCUUUUACUAGCUCAUCUGAAAAGAAAAAGAAUGUUCUUGAAUUAGUUUACUCUGAUGUGUAUGGUCCUAUUGAUGUAGAAACCUCAGGAGGUAGCAGAUAUUUUCUUACUUUUAUUAAUGAUACUUCAUGAAAGAUUUGAGUGUUUGUGUUGAAAACAAAAGACCAGGUUUUUCAGUAUUUUAAGCAAUUUCAUGUCAUGGUGGAAAGAGAGAAAAAAACUCAUUUAAAGUAUUUUCGUAAUGACAAUGGUGGUGAAUACACUUCAAAGAAGUUUGAGAAUUAUUGCCUAUAGCAUAGAAUUAGAUAUGAGAAGACAAUGUCUGGUACUCCUCAGCAUAAUGGUGUAGCUGAAAGAACAAACAUGACUCUCCUUGAAAAGGUCAUAUGCAUGUUGAAAAUGGCUAAUUUACCAAAAUCAUUUUAGGGUGAAGCACUAUACAAUGUUUGCUACUUGAUGAAUCGAUCUCCAUGGUCUGGGAAAGAUGUCAAUUAUUCUCAUUUGAAGGUAUUUGGCUGCAAGACAUUUAUGCAUAUACCUAAGGAGCAGAGAUAAAUGCUUAUGAUAGAACAGUUUCAUGUAUUUUUUUAAGCUAUAGAGAUACAAAGUUUGGAUACAGAUUGUGGGAUCCAGUGAAGAAAAAGGUCGUCAGGUCUGGAGAUGUGAUUUUUGAUGAGCACAAGACCUUAUUAGAUUUUGAGACAACAUAAAAGAUUAUAAGUGAAGAUAUUCAUCUUCCUACACUAGUUUAUCCUUCGAUCAGAGAUGCCACAGACGAGAGAGAGUUACAUGAUGAUCAAAGGUUUGAUAAUAUCUCAGUACCAUAUGAUAUUGAGCAGGGGGAGCAGCCCCUUGCAUCCCAGGUUACAGAAGAACCUUAGCUUAGAAGAUCAACUAGAACAUAUUAUCUUUCUAUCAGAUACUCCAAUUUUGAGUAUAUUAUAGUUACUGAAGAGGGGGAACCAAAAAGCUUUCAAGAAGUUUAGAACCAUCAAGAAAAGUCUUAGUAGUUGAAAGCAAUGGAAGAAGAGACGAGCUCUUUGAAUCAGAAUAAUACCUACGAGUUAGUUGAACUUCCAAAAGGCAGAAAAGCUUUGAAAAACAAGUAGGUAUACAAGCUUAAUAUGGACAGUGAGAAGCUAAUGAAAUAUAAGGUUUGUUUGGUAGUAAAGGAUUUCAAUCAGAAGAAAGGAAUUGACUUUGAUGAGAUAUUUUCUCCUGUUGUGAAGAUGAGCUCAAUUUGGGUAAUUCUUGAUUUAAUUGUCAGUUUAGAUCUUGAGCUUGAAUAACUAGAUGUGAAGACAAUAUUCCUUCGUGGUGAUUUGGAGGAAGAAAUCUACAUGAACCAAACAGAAGGAUUUGAAGUCAAAGGGAAAGAACACAUGGUUUGCAUGUUGAAAAAGAAUUUAUAUGGAUUGAAACAGGCUCCGAGAUAGUGGUACAAGAAAUUUGAUUCUUUUAUGGUCAGUCAUAGUUACACCAGAAUAGAUGCAGAUCAUUGUAUGUGCUUCAGGACAUUCUCAUAUGGUAAGUUUGUCGUUCUGUUAUUUUAUGUUGACGAUAUGUUAAUAGUAGGACAAGAUAUUAUAGAGAUUAAUGGUUUAAAAAAGGAAUUGUUUGGCUUUUUUUAUAUGAAAGAUUUGGAACCAGCACAAUAGAUUUUGGGUAUACAGAUUACUCGUGACAAGAAAGUUAAAAAAUUAUGGUCGUCGCAAGAAAGGUAUGUUGAGCAGGUUCUAAACAGAUUUUAUAUGAAGAAUGCUAAGCCAAUUAGCACACCACUUAUUAAUCACUUUACACUUAGCAAGAAAUUAUGUCCUGUUACUCAAUAAGAAAAAGAAGAAAUGUCAGUUGUUACUGUAGCACUCGGAAAGGAGGAGAAAAAAAAAAAAAAAAGCCACGUCAGCAGUCCCGGCCAACCAGGGCCUGCCACGUGGCAAGACCACGUCACUUCGAAAGGUAGCCACGUUGGCGAUCCGCGUGGGUGAAAUCCGACGGCCCAGAUCAAUCGCGCGAUCGGACGGCCCAGAUACAAUCGCACGGACGGCCCAGAUUCAAUCAAAAACGAACGGCCCAGAUUAAAACAAAAUGGACGGCUGAGAUCAAAAGGCAAGGGGUUAUAAAUAGAACCUCCACACCAGACCACAAACCCUAGCCGCCUGCCGCUCGCCGGAGAAGACGAACCAGAGGCCGACCGCCGCCACCCGCCGCCGCACCGGGGAAAUUUCCGACCGCCGAUCGAGGUAAAUUUCAUACCCCCGACUCGUUUUUCCACGCUGAUUCCUCCUAUGGCCAAAUCGAAGCCAAAAUCUCGGCCAAACGGCCGGAAUACGCGGCCGAAGACCAGCGGUGCCGCCGCGCCCCCUAUCGGUUUUUGCCUCCGACGAGGCCCUUCCCGGCCUCCAUUGGAUGCAAUUUUUAUAUCACCGUGAUCACCAUUCUUUUCUCUACAGGUUGACCGGAGCCGAAUCACCAAAACACGAACCUCGCCGGAGAGCCGCCGCACCCGAGAGCGCCGCCGCUGGUAAGCUCCGUUUUUCCGUGAUUUUUUGGCCCCCCGAGGGCCCUAGGGUUGUUUUCUCACAAGGACCGAUGCGAGUGUGGCCGAAUUCGGCCGAAAACGGCCGAAAACAGCCAACCCGAGGCGACUCGCCGCCGCGCCGGAGCACGGCGGAACCGCCGUGCCGGAGUUGCGAUUUGGGCCGAAAGAGGCCCUGGGCCUAAUUUGGGUUUUUUUUGGAACACGUGCAGGUACUGUUAGUGUGUUUCAGUUCCCCGGAAAAAAUUCAGAGAAAAUUAGGGACGGCCUGCAGGCGCACUGUGAAUCGUAUUCGGAUCCCGAAAACAAGUAAGGACCCCUCACCCUAUUUCCUAUCACGGUAUUAAAGUUCAAAAUGAUAAAACGGUAUUUCUUGAAUUAACGAAUGUGUGAAAUUGUUUAAGGUGGCUAAUGGAGCCCGAGUCUAGUGUGAUUGGUGAUUUACUGUUAUUUGGCCUGUUUACAGCUUUAAAUGCAAAAUGAGGUUUGAUGUGUUUAUUUUACAGAUUUGUGUGCAUAUACUACGUUUUUAUUAAUCAUGGGUUGAAUGACUGAAAAACUGAUGUUGUAUGUUGUCUGUUUGGCAUGAAUUACGAUUUGCUUGUUUAAAUGUGAAUUGAUGAUGCUGACUGAGGAAAAGGAAAAUGAAAGAUUGUGUAGACUGAUAAUUGUAUUAUGGGGGUCAGCCUGACUAGAUAUCCUGGGAGAUGGUGGACGGACCGGGUCCGUAGGGAACCCUACCGGGAUUGUGGUCUCACAUGCCGGACGGGGUAUGGAGAUCUUAUGGUUUUGGCGCCCAUACCGGACGGGGUAUUGAGGUUUAUGGUUUUGGCGCCCAUACCGGACGGGGUAUGGGGACGGCCCGUUUCACCCUCAUACCGGACGGGGUAUGGGGACGGCCCGUUUCACCCUCAUACCGGACGGGGUAUUGAGGUUCAUGGUUUUGGCGCCCAUACCGGACGGGGUAUGGGGACGGCCCUGGAAACUGAUUAUGAAUGUUAAAGGUUAACGGGUAGCGGAACCCCUAUGGACCCCCACGGAUACUAGUAGGCUGGUAAAUGAGAAAAAGAUAUGUUGUACAAUGAUUGAAUUACAAGAGGCGUGAUAAGUGUUAUGUUUUACAGCUUAUAUUAUUCCAUGAUUAUGAUAAUGUUAUUGUUUUCUUAUAUUGUUUUCAUAAAUUCCACCGAGGUAAGUGGAUGGAAAAGGUUUUUAUGUUAAUAAGCGAGUUUGUUGUAAAUUAUGCUCCAUUGGUCUUUUUGUGUUUUCUACCCACCUUUACCUCCGUGACGGAGAGAUAUCGUGAUGUUUUUACUGGGUCAGUGUAGCUCACUCCUUACUUAACCAUUUCAGAUCAGGAAGAAAUGGUUCCCGAGCCCGUUCUGCAGGAGGACGACGAAGGGGAUACCUAGAGACUCUGUAGUCAUACUCAUAGUUUUAUUUUCGAGUUUCUCUCUUAGUUAGUUUAAUCUUUUAUAUUUUAAGUACGUUUUUGGUUUUUCGUGUAAGGGAUGUUAACUGAAAUUUUGAUCUCGCUUCCGCAAUUGAUAUAUUUAAAUACUCAUUUCAUUUUAAUAUUUCCGGGGCCGUUACAGUUACUUACUCUUCUGCAGUUGGGAGUUUGAUGUAUGCUAUGGUUUGCACUCGACCAAGUAUUGUUCAUGAUGUUGGUUUGACAAGCCGAUUUAUUUUUAAUCCUAGUAAGAGUUAUUGGAAAACAGUAAAAUAGAUUUUUAGAUAUCUGAAAUGUACUCCUAAGAUGUAUUUAUGUUUUGAAUGUUCAGAACCAAUUUUAGAGGGAUAUGCAAAUGCAGAUAUGGCAGGUGACCUUGAUAGCAGGAAGUCUACUUCAGGGUAUGUGUUUACUUUUGCAAGGAGAAUUGUAUCAUGGUAGUCUAAACUGUAAAAAUGUGUUAUCUUAUCUACAACUGAGGCAAAGUAUAUAGUUUUAACUGAAACAGGUAAAGAAAUGUUUUAGAUGAAAAGAUUUCUCGAAGAGUUGAGUUUGAAACAAGAUGAAUAUGUGAUGAAUAAUGAUAGUCAAAGUGCUCUAUAUUUGAGUAAUAAUGUCACAUAUCAUUGUCGUACGAAGGAUAUUGACGUGAGAUACUAUUGGAUACGAAAUGUAAUGAAUAAUAAAGAUAUGUUAUUGAAAAAUAUUUACACUGAUAAAAAUCGACAUGUUGACCAAGAUAGUGAAUUGUAACAAGUAUCCGUCUUGCACCAAUAAUGUGGGAUUGAUUGAAUAUUGAGCAAUGUAUGGUAUACAUCUCUUCAUAAGCUGGAGGAAGAGCUUGUUGGUUAUGUAUCCAGCCUAAACAAAAAAAUGGUAAAUCAGUAAUUCAAAAAAAAAAGAAAAGAAAAAAAGAAAAAGAAAAAAAAAAGAAUUAGGGUUGAAAUUUUCUUUUGGAUAUAAAUAUAUAUAUGUGUGCUGCAGGAAAAAAAAAAAAAAAAAAAAAGAGAGUUAGAGAGAAAGAGAGAAGAAUGUGCGGCAAGAGGAAAUGAAGAAGAUAACUUAUAUAUAUAUACACACACAUAUAUAUAAGUUGAGUGGCUACUAAGAGAAGAAAGAAAAAGUGAUUUUCAUUCUCUCUCCUUGAUGAUAUUAUCGCAGACAUCAGCAAUUUCUUCAUUUUCUAAUGGAAGUUUAAACUUGAUUCUGUUUCCCUCUUUUUUCUAGUUCUGCACCCAAAAAAUGUUGUUCUUUCUGUUUUGGAUUUAAUUUUUAAUGGAUUAUCUUAUAUUUAAUUUUAUUAAUAGUAUAUUUGAUUCUAAACUUAAUCUGUGAUUUUUUUCUUUACACUGAAGAAUUUUUUAAUAAAUUCUAAAUUUAUUUAAUUUUUCAACACGUAUUUAUUUAUUAUCUUUUUUCUAGUAUGCAUUAAUUUAACUUAAGAUUAUAGUUAUUAAUUUCUGCUAAUUAAUUUGGGAUUGAUUUAAUUUAUACAAUUAAUUAUACUCGACCAACAAUUCUUUCAUGAGGUAUAUGUAUUUCUUAUUGCGUUGUGUAAGAUUACUGAUGACAGUUUUUGUAUUUGUUGAUGACAUGUAAAGUUUGUUAUUUUUGUUUUUCAUUUAUUUGUGAUGUUGCCCUUUGGCUGUAGGUGUUUAGCAGUCUGUAUAUAUGUGCUAGUGGUAAAACCCAUUUGCUUAGUGUGAGAAAAAAUAUAUAACAAAAAUUUUUGUCUUCUUCUCCCAUAUUUUCUUCUCUGCUCUGUUCUGCUCUGUUAUGAUUUCAUCUUCUUCUUCUUCUCCCAUAUUUUGUUGGGUUCUGCUUUGUUUUGCAUUUCUUUUUAACACUUUGUUAUACUUUCCCUUCUGUUGACUCUUUCUCUGAAACAAUUGUCACUCCUGUAUUCCACAGGAAAAUGGUGUUCUAACUGUUAUACAUUUUUUUGUAUGUAGUUUUACUAGUUUUAGUUGAUUAUACUCUAGUUAAUGAGGUUUAUUGUUAUAAAUGAAGGCGAAGAAAGCUUUGGUGAUCAUGGGAUUUACAUCCCAUGCUUAUAUGGUAGAUCUCUGUUUCAGGUUGUUCAAUGAUUGAUUGAACAACUGGUUCCAAGAUGGAGGAAUAUUUAGAUGUUUUUAUAUUUAUUAGAAGUGUCUUGAAGGAUUUUUCUUUCAGAAUGUUGUUUAAGAUCUGAUUUACUAUGUUUUGUGAUAAUGGAAAUUUUUUGGUUCAGCAUAUAGCUGCUUGGAUUGUUGUUGAGCCCUGAGGCCCUGAACUUAAGGUCCUAGAGGUUUCUCAAGAACCCUUCAUCUUAGCCAUCUUCAGUUAUUGGUGAGGACAGUGUCAGAAUGCUCUGAAUGGUGGCUGAAGGCCUUGGGCAGUUGAAGAUGCCUGACUACACCCUUAGAGAGGGACAAUUAAACAUGCCUCUUAAAAUAAUUCCCUUGUGCUGUGGCAAUAAAGUAAGAAUUCACAGCACUUGUUACUUGUUUGUCGAUUUGGAAACUCGUAAGAUUUGGAAAAUAGUAAAAAGCUUCUCCAUUUUCCUGGUGAAAUUUGCUAAAUUUUAUGGUUCUACAGGUUUAAUUAGGGUGGGUCAUGAAACAAAAAAGCCAUGGUUGAAGAACAUGAGCUAAUCAAUUAGAUUGACAAAAACAGCUUAUGAUGUUCACCAGAGUAUCCAAAGACUGCGGAAUGGCAAGCUGGUGUCAACCAUAAUCAUUGGUUGCCCAUCAGUCUAGAAAACCAAAUUGCAAUAAUAUUGUUGACGUUACAAGGGUGAUCCGUUUCCGAUUUGAAUUAACAGGAUGGGAAGUGUUUCUCCUUUCCAUUAUGAUUGAUUGCAACGAUGCUUGUUCAUCUCUUGGGAAUGCAUUUUGGGAAGUACUAACUUGUGAGCAAAUAUUCGGCGAAAAGAACCAGAAUUUUUUCCACUUUGAGCAAAGAAAGGAGUAGGAAAGUUGUAGUGAGCUAUUUGUUGAUUCCUCGUUCAGUUUCUCAAAAUGAUGUAGAAGAUGGAUGAGUGAAAUUACUUCAAGAAACAACUUAAUUACGCAGGAAAUUUACUUGUAGACUUUGUAACUCGGAAUCGAAGGAUUC
rnacentral:lncRNA from 1 species